GAAUUAAAGUGAAUUCAAUAUUAUCUUAACUAAGGUUGAGAAUUAAAGUGAAUUCAAUAUUAUCUUAACUAAGGUUGAGAGUUAAAGUGAAUUCAAUAUUAUCUUAACUAAGGUUGAGAGUUAAAGUGAAUUCAAUAUUAUCUUAACUAAGGUUGAGAGUUAAAGUGAAUUCAAUAUUAUCUAAACUAAGGUUGAGAGUUAAAGUGAAUUCAAUAUUAUCUAAACUAAGGUUGAGAGUUAAAGUGAAUUCAAUAUUAUCUAAACUAAGGUUGAGAGUUAAAGUGAAUUCAAUAUUAUCUAAACUAAGGUUGAGAGUUAAAGUGAAUUCAAUAUUAUCUAAACUAAGGUUGAGAGUUAAAGUGAAUUCAAUAUUAUCUAAACUAAGGUUGAGAGUUAAAGUGAAUUCAAUAUUAUCUUAACUAAGGUUCAACUAAUAGAGCUUGAUGGGAGAUGAACUCAAUGCUGAAAUGUAUUGUAUUUUUCAUUUGAAACCUUUCAUUGGGACUUUUUAGG